AAACAUAGCCUUAGGAGAUUAAUCUAAGGUUAGACCUGCCCAAUGUUCAAUUUUAUCAAUGGCCGCGGUACUUUGACCGUGCUAAGGUAGCGCAAUCAAUUGGCCUUUAAUUGGGGCCAGGUAUGAAUGGAGUUACGUGGUUCGACUGUCUCCUCAAUUAAUUUAUUGAAAUUACUAUUUAGGUGAAAAAGCCUAAAAAAAGAAAAAGGACGAGAAGACCCUUAGAGUUUAACUUAAGUCAGACAAUUCCUGAACCAGUUUAGUUGGGGCACACUUUGGAACAGAUAAAUUUCCUUAAAGUAACAAACCGAUUUUAAUAAAUGUGAAUAAACUACCUUAGGGAUAACAGCAUAAUUUUAUAAAUAAGUUUGUGACCUCGAUGUUGGACUAGGAAAUUUAGGGGCUAGCCGCCUUUAAAGAAAGUUCUGUUCGAACUAUUAUUCCUACGUGAUCUGAGUUCAGACCGG
rnacentral:rRNA from 1 species